rnacentral:tRNA from 1 species
GCCCUCGUAGUGUAGUGGUCAGCACGCUCGACGCGUAACCGAAACGUCCGUGGUUCGAAUCCCGGCGAAGGCG